GAUGAACGCUGGCGGCGUGCCUAAUACAUGCAAGUCGAGCGAACAGACGAGGAGCUUGCUCCUCUGACGUUAGCGGCGGACGAGUGAGUAACACGUGGAUAACCUACCUAUAAGACUGGGAUAACUUCGGGAAACCGGAGCUAAUACCGGAUAAUAUAUUGAACCGCAUGGUUCAAUAGUGAAAGACGGUUUUGCUGUCACUUAUAGAUGGAUCCGCGCCGCAUUAGCUAGUUGGUAAGGUAACGGCUUACCAAGGCAACGAUGCGUAGCCGACCUGAGAGGGUGAUCGGCCACACUGGAACUGAGACACGGUCCAGACUCCUACGGGAGGCAGCAGUAGGGAAUCUUCCGCAAUGGGCGAAAGCCUGACGGGGCAACGCCGCGUGAGUGAUGAAGGUCUUCGGAUCGUAAAACUCUGUUAUUAGGGAAGAACAAAUGUGUAAGUAACUAUGCACGUCUUGACGGUACCUAAUCAGAAAGCCACGGCUAACUACGUG
rnacentral:rRNA from 1 species